rnacentral:rRNA from 1 species
CCUACGGGUGGCAGCAGUGGGGAAUAUUGCACAAUGGGGGAAACCCUGAUGCAGCGACGCCGCGUGAAGGAAGAAGUAUUUCGGUAUGUAAACUUCUAUCAGCAGGGAAGAAAAUGACGGUACCUGACUAAGAAGCCCCGGCUAACUACGUGCCAGCAGCCGCGGUAAUACGUAGGGGGCAAGCGUUAUCCGGAUUUACUGGGUGUAAAGGGAGCGUAGGCGGUUUAGCAAGUCAGAAGUGAAAGCCCGGGGCUCAACUCCGGGACUGCUUUUGAAACUGUUGAACUAGAGUGCAGGAGAGGUAAGUGGAAUUCCUGGUGUAGCGGUGAAAUGCGUAGAUAUUAGGAGGAACACCAGUGGCGAAGGCGGCUUACUGGACUGUAAAUGACGCUGAGGCUCGAAAGCGUGGGGAGCAAACAGGAUUAGAUACCCUUGUAGUC